UACCGAGGUCCCAAGCGUUGUUCGGAUUCACUGGGCGUAAAGGGUGCGUAGGUGGUCAGGUAAGUCGGAUGUGAAAUCUCCGAGCUCAACUCGGAAACUGCAUUGGAAACUACCUGGCUCGAGGGUUGGAGGGGGGACUGGAAUGCUUGGUGUAGCAGUGAAAUGCGUAGAUAUCAAGCGGAACACCAGUGGCGAAGGCGAGUCCCUGGACAACUCCUGACACUGAUGCACGAAAGCUAGGGGAGCAAACAGG
rnacentral:rRNA from 1 species